GAAAUGCGAUAAGUAGUGUGAAUUGCAGAAUUCAGUGAAUCAUCGAAUCUUUGAACGCACAUUGCGCCCCUUGGUAUUCCAUGGGGCAUGCCUGUUCGAGCGUCAUUUGUACCCUCAAGCUCUGCUUGGUGUUGGGUGUUUGUCCUCCCCCCUUUGGGGGAAGACUCGCCUUAAAGUAAUUGGCAGCCAGUAUUUUGGUUUGGAGCGCAGCACAAGUCGCGAUUCAAGCUUAGGUAGUGGCAUCCAACAAGUCAUUUAUCACUUUUGACCUCGGAUCAGGUAGGGAUACCCGCUGAACUUAA
rnacentral:misc_RNA from 1 species